CGGGUGAGUAACACGUGGAUAACCUACCUAUAAGACUGGGAUAACUUCGGGAAGCCGGAGCUAAUACCGGAUAAUAUAUUGAACCGCAUGGUUCAAUAGUGAAAGACGGUUUUGCUGUCACUUAUAGAUGGAUCCGCGCCGCAUUGGCUAGUUGGUAAGGUAACGGCUUACCAAGGCAACGAUGCGUAGCCGACCUGAGAGGGUGAUCGGCCACACUGGAACUGAGACACGGUCCAGACUCCUACGGGAGGCAGCAGCA
rnacentral:rRNA from 1 species